CCUAGUCUGUCCUAGCCUUUAUUCUAGAAAUCCAAUUAAUCGUUUGUAUUAUUUUUAGUUAUGAUUACAAUGUUUUAGCCUAGUUAUGACUAAGACUUAAUAUUCAUGAUUUAUAUUCACAUAUUAUUGCAUAUGUGACGUUAAGGAACUUAAAAAAAAAUACGGCGAAAAUAUUUCUUUUUAUUUUUUCUUUUUAAUUCUGAAACUGAAAUAUAUUCUGAAUCUAUAAAUAUUUUUCUUUUUUCUUUUCAAUUCUGAAACUGAAAUAUAUUCUGAAUCUAUAAAUAUUCUAACUUCAUGGGUAAAUUUGGAAAUAAAUUAAGUGUUUCCCAUUUGGAUGAUUUUCGUAUCAAGUUAUGUCAAUUUAUUGUCGAUUUUAUUUCAGUGCUGUUUAUCAUCUUUCGUUCAAAGCGUAUGUGACUUUAGCGACAGGUAUGGACAAAAUAAGAACUACAAACAAGCGAGAAACGUUGUCCCCACCAUGCGUCUAUCAUGUCGGUGUAUAAGUUUGUGAAGUUAUUCCGUUCUCACGCAUCAUUAGGAUUGUUUUCGUAUAGUUGAAGUACUUAAACAUGGUGAGAUCGAAGUAAUCGAUAUAACAUUCUAUAAGACGUAAGGACAUAAGGAAGUUCUUAUUAGAAACCAAUUUCCUACACUUUUAUCAGGUUGGAUCAUUGAGAAACCGAAUCGUCGUCGCGGAACCGUUUCAUCAUCGAAGGAUUUCCGCUAUUUUAUGCGAAUGUAUAAAGAAUCUUUUUAUGUAAAUUGUAGAAAGAUUCAUUUUUUACCAUUCGGAGAACGUAGAAUGCUAUUAAGAUCAUGGACUGUAUUGUAAAGUUCGAAAUUUCGAAAACACAGACGAAUUAUAUAUGCGUAUUUUACCUCCAAUCUCAUUCUUACUCAAUGCAGUUCCAGCGUUCCUCAUAAUUGCCAUUUCCUUUAUUUUGUGAUUUUUAGAAUCCCUAAUUUAAUGAAUCUAAUAGAACUUGAUUUUAUAAAAAUAAAAAGAAAUAAGAAAAGAAAAAAAAAUACACACACACACACACACACACACACACACACAUAUAUAUAUAUAUUACAUAUGAAAGAUAAAUUUGAAAAAGAUAAUUUUGAAUUGAAUUUAAUUUAACUUUAAAAGCGAAAAUGAAAGUGAAAAAUUCUCGAUCCUAAUCUAUACAAAUAUUCAUUUCCCUUAACGUGUGGCAAAGGGAGAACUUCGUAUACAUCCCAAUCUAUAUGUUUUAGUUUUGUGUCCACCUUUAUUCAAUGUAUUUUCAGUGGUUCACACAAUUACGAUAUCUUAUACAUUCCGCAGUUAUGAUUUUAAUAUAGAACUUGAUUUUAUAAGAAUAUAAUUAUGAAUUUAAUUGAACUUUAGGAAAAAAAGAAAUGAAAAAUUUAUGACUCGACUUCAAUAAUAAAAAUACAUAAAAUAUAAAAUAAUUUUAUUCGCACACACAUUGCAAAAUGGGAUCAGAGAUAGAAUGUUAUGUUUGGUAGUUUUUAAAUCUACCUCUAUACUCAUCACUAUAAGAGUAUUUUGAAUGACAACAUGAUAAAAUUAAAAUAUAACUAAGAACCAUUCUGGGAAGGUUUUAGUGAACCUUUGAAAAUAGCUCAAUAGCCUCAAUAGUGCUCAAGUUUUGGCACAUAGCUUCUUUGUUUUGUUCCCUAAUCACUGCUGCAGAUCAUUCGAUAACGAUAUUUAAUGGUAAAGAAUUAGAACUGUUCUUGAUUCUAAAAUGUGCAAGUAAAUUAACAAUCUAAUGUAACUUUAACACGACCCCAAUGCAACCUUGAAAACAAAAAAAUCUCGGCUCUUUUGUAGAAAAUAAUUACUGCUUUUUGAUCGAGAGAUGUCUUUUAAGAUCAAUAAAGUAUAUAGAAGAAACGUUUAUUAAUUAGUAUAUUAAUUGUUGAAAAUCCUAAGCUAAAAAUUGAUCAUUCUAGUCCUAGGAUUUGAUUAGUUUUCGUUGUUGUUGCACGAUGAACAUUCUGCCCUAAGAUGAUGAAAAAACGUCCGACAACGACUCCACUUCGUGAUUAUAAAAAUAAUUCUUUAAAUAUAAUACUAAUCAGUUAUGAACAUAAAAGAAAUGAAAUUAUAAAUUGUCUAAGUUUAUUCUCAUGGAAAGAAUGAAUUUCGGUGUUCACUCGUUCGAGUGCGAAAUGAAACUGUUUCAAUAAACUGUUUCAAUAAAGUCAGUCAAAUGUAUAUUUUCGUUAAUAUUAAAUGUAGUUGACGACCCGAUGAUUAAAAUUUAACUGUAUUGAAAUAUUAAAUUGAAAUUAUUGUAUAUUUAAUGCGCGUUAGGAAUUAAGUAAUACUUAAGUGAAUGCAUUAACAUUAAAUCUUAUUUUCAUGUACUCAGUGUAUAUCAUACAUUGUUCAAAUAAUUAUAAAAUAACCGAAAGUAUUAAUUGUUUAAUCUUAGAUAUUUGGAAAGAGAGAGCUUUGAUGUUUACUCGUCGAAGUGGAAAAGAGAACUGGAUCGACAAAUAUCAAAGUUAAUCAAAUGUGCGUUUUUGUUGAUAUUAAAUGUUGUCAAUGAUCGGAGAUGUAAUUUAAUUGUACUUAAAUAUUAAAUGGAAAUUAUUUUGUAUUUAACGUGUGUUACAAACUAUUUAAUCAUUAAGCGAAUGUAUUAUUAUUUAAAUAUUAAUUUAUUAUACUCCGUGUACAUUAUACAUCGUUUAAAUAAUUAUAAAAUAACCGAAGGUAUUAUUUAUUUAAUCUUAUAGAGACGUUUGAAAAAAAAGAAUUUCAAUACUCAGUCGUCGAAGUGGGAAAGAAAACUGAAUCGAUAAAUAUUGAAGUCAGUCAAACGUUCGUUUUCGUUAAUAUUAAAUGUAGGCAACAACUCGAAGAUCAAAAUUUAAUUGUUUUGAAAUAUUGAAAUGAAAUUAUUUUAUAUUUAACUCGUGUUAUGAUUUAAACGAAUAUACUAUUGUUUAAAUAUUGGGUUAUUAUACUUUGUCUACAUUAUACAUAGUUUAAAUUAUUAUAAAAUCGUUCCAAAAUUACGUAUCGUUCCUAAAAACCAUUAUUAUGAAUGACUGAACACGUAUUUGCUUAUUUUCAUAGAAUCAUAGAACCCUCUGUCGAAAGCUGAUUAAAAUGCUUGAACGAGUUAUUGUGAGUAUGGCGAAAAGCGUUUCUUUGCAUUUGAAUGGAAUCAGAAAAUCUGAGGAUCGGUUUAUGCACAUAAACAAGGAAGCUAUUGUCUGAUUUACGGAAGCAAACACACAUUACUCAUGACAAUGAGUAGUGGGAAUAAGAGCUUCUUUUUUGCCGCAAAAUUCGAUUGGCGUCACUAUACGAAAUUUUUUUUUUCACGAAAAAUGUCGAGAAUAUUUAUCUCAACAGCGAAUCCAGGCAUAAUUCUUGAACGAUUUUCAUGAACAAGAUCUUAUUUUAAAGAUGAAGGUUUGAGCGAGGAUAUGACUUCUUCAAAUUCUUGGAAAAGCUUUAUUUUUAUGCAUAAAUUAUUUUUGAUAAGAUACCAUCAUUUGAUACGAUUUUUCUUUUUAAAGAAAAUAAAGUUUUUUCAAAUGUUUGAAAAAGCUAUGUUCUCUCUUGAUCCUUCAUAUUUAAAAUAAAAUCCUGUUUAUCGAAAUCGUUCAAAAAUUAUGUCUUUACUCAUUG